GGGAGUCGUUGCUCGCCAUAGAUGUAGCUUGUGACAAAGUGGCUGGACCCAGGCAGGAUUUUAUUGUUUGAUGAAGAUUCAUUGCCCUUGAUUCUUCUCCUUGGGCUUGUACUUAAUGAUGGUGAGAGAUGAGGAGGAUGAAGGGGAGGUGCAUACUCUUUUUCCUGAAUGACAAAGCUGGGAGCUGGCGAUGGCUUUGGGAAUAUGGGAAGUCAGUUUUCAGAAAGACAGAUAUGAAUCCAGGAAGCUGAAAGGGAGCUCUUUCAGGCCAGGAUGGAGGAUACUCCCAGCAUCCCCUAUGGUCAGAUGCAUGGGUCCUUGGAGCACUCAGGGACCAGCCUUUCCAGUGUGUCCUGAAACCAGAAGCCCCAUGACACUGGCUCCUCUUUCACUGCUCUGGGAUUUCGGCUCUGGCCAAGGCAGGAACACCCAUGCUGCAGAGAAGCCUGAGAAGCCACUGAAACCUGGUGCAGGCAGGACCACCCCUUCGCUCCGUUGUCAAGGUCCAGAUGUCCCUGGUGUCCAACAGGGCUUGACUACAGCAGGCACUUAAUAUGUGCUAACUCCGUGCAUCCCCCUCCUUUUUCCUAAGUGGAUUAUGCAUCUGCUCCUCAGGACUGAUCUUCAACCUGUCAGCUACUCCCCAGCAUCAUCCAAACUGCUCUGAAAACCACCUUUCCAAAAUGCAGAGCCAGCAGUGUCACUGCCCCACUCAAAAUGCUCUCAACAGCUCCCCACUGCCU
rnacentral:misc_RNA from 1 species